CAAAUUCCAAGGUCAAAGUCCUGUUAGAAGUGACGUUUCAUAAGCUAAAUUAGAUGUGAUCAAAUGUCAGGAGAUUGUAUUUGGUUCAUGCACUUAAAUUGAAGUUUUUCUGUGGUGUCUUUUUUUUUACUUUA